UAGAAGGCAUAAAUAGUCUGCUCUCUCUCGCUGUGGUAAUAGUCCUCUCUGGGAAAACCACCCGGUCGAGCCCCUCGCAGACGAUACAGAUACCGUUACUGGGAAAUCGGCUGGAAUCAACAGAGAACAGUCGGCGGCAUAGUGCAAAGCAUAUCCAAUAUUUCAUCAGCAAAAAUGUGAUCCCCCUCUUUUCUACGAUUAUAUUCGGAAUGCAUUAGGCAAUCAUAAGCUUUUUUUGUACGCUGAUCUGGCUAUGUGCGCUGAACUGAGAGCGGGCCAAAAUUAAAAGAGAGCAAGCAACCACGAUAAAGAGACCGGUAAUAUAUGUACAUAGAGCGAAACAUUCGGGCAAUGAGAGGGGAGGGGAAGGAACGUGGUGCAAAGGAUGAGAAGACAAAGGAUGGGCAUAUCUUAUAAAAAACUCUCAUGAAGGGGAAAAACGGCCUGGUGUUACUGACCCAUCUUUGGCUGAUGAAAUUGAAAUCUAACUUUCAUGAGCUUCUCCUUGUAGAAAUGCAUUGCAUCAUCCUCAAAAGUUUAUUAGUGUUCUACAUUAUUAGUGCUUUACAGAGAUAAACCAAACCAAGUUUAUUGUUAAAAUGUAAAACUUUAUUCAAAAAAUCAGCACUAGUUUUUGUUUUUAGAUUACAAUUAAUUUGAUUUUGCAUAAAUUAUAUGAAACCGCAUGAAUUUGUUUCAAUUUACAGGAAUAGACAAAAGUUGUUACACGUUUGAGAUUCGAUUUAAGGCAAUCGAUCAGUUAGAGUGG